UACGUAGGGUGCGAGCGUUUGUCCGGAAUUAUUGGGCGUAAAGAGCUCGUAGGCGGUUUGUCGCGUCGGCCGUGAAAACUUGGGGCUUAACUCCAAGCUUGCGGUCGAUACGGGCAGACUUGAGUUCGGCAGGGGAGACUGGAAUUCCUGGUGUAGCGGUGAAAUGCGCAGAUAUCAGGAGGAACACCGGUGGCGAAGGCGGGUCUCUGGGCCGAUACUGACGCUGAGGAGCGAAAGCGUGGGGAGCGAACAGG
rnacentral:rRNA from 1 species